ACAAAAUAAAGUAAACAGGAAAGAGUAUAUGAUAGUCUUCUACCAAGACUUAAAUGUUCUGUAAGUAAAAUGAUAGUUUUUCCUUUCUAUUGACUAGUACUAAAGUACUUAGUCUAACUCAUCGUUUAUGUGAAAGUAUCACAAAAUAAAGUAAACAGGAAAAAGUACUAAUGUAAGUGUUGUCACUUGGUACUAGGACUAACACAACAUCGCAAUAAGCAAAAUAUAUAACCUAAUGAACAUCCGAAGAUUGUCCAGAAAAAGUAUUAAUGUAAGUGCUAUCACUGGGUACUAGGACUAAUACAACAUCACAAUAAGCGAAAAGUAUAACCUAAUGAACAUCCGAAGAUUGUCCAAUUGUCCUCUGUAGCAGCAGCAGGUGGGUGGAAGGGUUAGUCCCGAUAUCGAUCUACCUAAUAUAAAUAGUAACCUUAGCCCUCCGUAGAUGGUCAUCGACCACUGGUGCUAAUCAGUGGGGUUCGGAAUGGUUAGUCCCGCCGAGAUAUCCCAUUGUAGUAUGUGAAAUCUGUUGAAUGAAAACACAGUUAUAAAAUACAUAUAGAUGAUUUAAUAACAUGUUUUUUUCUACUUGUAUCCCCCCCCCCAAUAAAGCAUUUAAAAUCAUUUAAAACAUUGAUUAGGGGUAUGAACUCACUUGUACAUGGUGGUUUGGAUGAACUGGACGAUGUAGGAUUGUUAGGUGUCAAGUGAGGACUUGCACACACACUACGAUCCUAAUGAACAUAUAAUCACACAUAUAUGCACGCAAUUAGUCUUAAAUUACUAAUUGAUAAUAUUAAGACAUCCUAGAACAUAAUAAACACUUUAUAUAAGUGUUAUAAGCCCUAAGGAUUUCAUCUAAGCUAUUGUGGGACAAGGCACUUGGGUUUAGGGUUCCAAAGGACCCUAUACUUGAGUUUACUCUCCAUAUAUCCUCACACAUGGAGUUUACGGUUGUAAACUCUUGAGUUUACGGUCGUAAACUCCCAAACUUGGUGGUAUUUGGUGUUUUGAAGUACUAAAUGAUCCCUAGAAUUAUUCCAACUUGGUGGUUAAAUUCUUGGAAGGGUUUAAGGCAUAGAAACACUCCUUUGAGGAGUUUACGGCCCUACGGCCAUUUCCCCCUUGGAAUGAUGUUUUUGAUGCUUUCAAGUCCCUUGCACAUGUGGUAUAGGUCUUAGACUUUUAUCCCAAGCAUUUGAAGGCCUUAGGCACACUUUGGUGCCUUUGUUUGAUGUUCACGGCCCAAGAACCUUAUUAGGGCCAUGAACUCACUUUGUGGGGUGUUUUUGAUGUGUUUUGGUCCUUCAUUUAAGUGGAAACAAUUACUAGUAAAUAUCUAAGGCUUUAGGUGCCUUAAAAGCACCCUUUUGUCCAUGAUUUUGGAGUUCACGGUCCAGGAUCUUCUUGGGCCGUGAACACCCAAACAUAUGUCUUUCUUGGUUGUUUUCUUGUCCCUAAUACACUUCUAUAGAAGCCCAAAGUAGUAUUAUAUUACAAGGGAAGGUCUAGGCAUUGUUUCGGGAGUUUACCGCCCAAGAACACCUUGGGGAGUAAACUCCUAAAUCUAGUGAUUUAGCCAUCUAAAUCAUGUUAUAAACACAUAAUAAGCUUUCUAACACUACUAGAUAGAGUUACUCACGUUUUGGUAUAAAAACCCGAAGAUCCGUGAGAGAGAAAAUGACUUUCUCUAGUUGAAAAUGCGAAUAAUGAAUGAAAUUGGUUCAGAAUUCUAUUUAUAGUCCUAAGAUAUUUUUGGAAGAAAAUAUUUUUAUUCCCGAAAUGAUUUCUAAUAUAACAGAGUGUUGGAAUAAUAGUGUUCCACAAAACCCUAGUGCAUCCACUCUCCUGAUAUCUCCUGAAGUGUAAACCCUGAAUUACUCAAACUUAUCCGAAAAGUCUGAAAAUUUACUGUGACUGUUAUAACUUCUAUUGAAGUGAUAUUGUUUGUUCAGAAUGGAAAUUUCGGGUUGUCACAUCACCCCCCUGUUAAAGGGAAUUUCGUCCCAAAAUUAGAAUUUAGGCAAGGAAGUAGGUACGAAAUAUCGAGUCGUUAUGUGAACUUCCUAAUCGAUUGGUUCUCGCACUCCUAAGUGAAAUCGGGUUCUCGAUUGGUAUCCCAACGAACCUUCACUAACGGGCGUUGGCGCUGCUUCGUCCGCUUGUCCACUCGGUUGAGCGUCACAACGGUUCUAAUACGAAGGCGAGGAUCUCGUUAAUCUCGAUUUCGUCGAGUGGGCUUACGAGAUUCCUAACGGAAAGUUAUUGUUUAAAAAUUGUGACCCAAAGGGUAACAUGUACGUUACUGAGUUUGCGUAGUAGAUCUAGUCGGUGAGAUGCAGGACUGAUUCUGGUAGGAAUCUCGGAGGUCCUAACUAUAUUGGAUUUAGCUUUCCACGCCUUAUGAAGCAUAUUUAAGCCAUUCCAAGAGUGAGGUUUCUUAAAGAAUUUGGUCUCUCACUAGGUAUUCCAAAGGUUCUUUCUAUUGCUUAACUUCCCAGUCAAGGGCCACCCCUUGUUGGGUCAAAGUCGAAAGGGUUUCUGAAAUUUGUGAGGAAUUCCGAAUGGACUAUGAUAGUAGGUCUGUAAGACCUAGAAUUUGGCGAAUUUUCCGUCGGUGACUACGGUGCUGACAAAUCCCCAACGGUUUUGGAUAAUUUGACAGAGUACUCAAGAAUUUCCACAUCACUAGUAGUGUGUCUCCGGAAAUUUGACUCUUAAAUCCAAACUCUUAUUCCGAGGACUUUGCGAAAAGUAUCUCCGAGGGUAAUGUUUCUAUGAGUUCUUGCUCACUAUGAGGGUAGAUAAGUAAGUCAUUACAUGGAGAAAUGAUGAACUAAUCCCAGUAAGAAAAACGUACUCCACUUAUUUAGCUCAUGAAUACUGUGGGCGUAUUGGUCCUAUCCGAGGGGUAUCACUACGGACUUGAAAUGUCCGCAUCGAGUUCGGAGGAUAGCCUUCAGGACAUCCUUCCCUAUCACUCGAACUGGUGAUAUUUGGAUCUCAGGUCCAUUUCUGAAAGUAACUCUUUCCGUGUGUUUGUUCAAUCAACUCGUCUAGGCGAGGUAGAGACAACGANUCUAAAGGAAAUCUAAAUGAAGUCUCCGGUUGUCGAGGUACAUAUGAUGCACUCCGUCGACUUCUGGUAAGAAUAAGACCGGAGCUCUCAAGGGUGAGAAACCUGGUCUUCUAAUUAUAUUGUUGAGUAGCUCGCUGUGUUGUCCGGGCUGUUCUUGUAUCUUCCGUAGAUGUUUAGAUUGUAAGGCGUUCUGGUUAUAAGAGUCAUACUGGCUUCUAAGUUUGUUCACAUGCUAAAUGCAAUUACUCGUAGUCUUGGGCAGUCUCCGUCCUGAAGUUCAUAUUAUAAUUCAUACAUGGUUCAAUGAUCACAAUUUCGUGUAUACGAGUCGUAUAUAACUAAGGUUGAAAAGGUAGUCGAAUAACUGAUUCUUCCUUAACCUCACAUCCCAUCGAGGGAGAAGAAGUUAUAGUGAAAUCAUCAAUUCUAAACCUGUAGAACAUUGAUUAUAUAUCACUUUCAUGUAUACAUUCUUCAGUGAUAGGUCAACCGUAUGAAUCCUGGAGUUGAACUUGGCAUACUGUACGAGUAAUAUUGUGGGGAUUCCUUCGGAAAGGAAAGGAACUAUAAGGUACUUCAUGCACGAGUAACUCGGAGUUCUGAUAUGACGGCUUCGCUAAAAGAUGUUUACUGAGAAAGAGAUGUACUUAUGAAUUUGGUAUUGCGAGGAUCAAAUUGAAUCGAGUCGUAUGAUAAUGUCGGAAUCAUACAGAAACUUAAAGACAUUAGAUUUGAACAUAAAACAUUUACAGACAAAAACAACCAUGCAACCAUGAACAGAGUUACAGUACUUUAGAUUUGCUACAAGACUAUUGCUGCGAAUAGGAUAUACUACAAAAGACAAGUAUACGCAGCACGAGCAUCCCUAUACCGACAGGAUCCCGCAAAAGAUAAGACUCUAGUUGCACUAGUUUUAAACAUGUUUUUGAACAUACAAAAUACUGACAACUUGGAGGGAAGCUAUACUAUAUUAGGGUCCUUAACUGCCUCUUUGCAUUCUGAGGUCAAACUCCUUCGGAUUCGUCGUUGUCCUUCUCUGCUGGACAGUCCCUCUUGAAGUGUCCCAUGACGCCACAUAGAUGGCAUAUCUGAGAGGUUUGGACAUUUGUGGUUGAAGAAAUGUGUUGGAUCUGGAUCCUGCAGUAACUGGCAGUAUGUCCAUUCCUGUUGCACUUAUAACAGUGUAACGGUCGGCAACUACCUAGAUGAUGAAAGCUACACCCAUAGCAUUUCGGUAGGUUUCCGGAAUACUGUCUGGCUGGUGUGGGGACCAUUGGGACACCAGAAGGAAUGGUAGCAGGAGGUGCAGAUGUCGUAGCUGUGAAGGUCGUUACUGGUGGUUGUUUCUUAAUCGCCCCUCGAAGCGAUUUGUUUUUCCUUUUGGCCCAAAACUUCUGGUUGUUACUCUUGGUCUCGGCACUCGGGGUAUCGUGGUAGUUUGUUGCUUGCUGAGGUACUGGAUUGUUACUUGGGGUGGAAUGAUUGUUAACAAUCCCACUAACACUUGUGUUGUUAGCGUUCAGGUGGGUCAGAACAACUGACACGGCAGCCGAGACUGCAACUUGAAAGGUAGCUGCAUCAAUCUGAAGAGUUGGUGUUUGGUUGAUGGGCUGAUCGUUUUUCUUGGGAGACAUGAUUCUGUUACACCGAAAGAAAAUGAAUUUGUGAGCGAAAAUGGUUGAAUCUAGACGUAGUUCGAUCGCUCAUGUAAAGAAUAGAAGUAUGUUCUCUAAGGUUCGACCUACAUCCCUAUGAUGCAGUCCUAGCAAAGAUCGGAAGUAAAUUUGUACAAUGUCUCAAGACGUUUGUCGUUCUAGCCGAGAUAUUGUUGGUUGGCGAAUAACGUGAUCCAACCAUUAAAAGAGACUUGGAGAUGUCUCCGGAGUUAAAUUGCUAUAGUCCAAUUACUUGACUAGAGCAUGUUUCAAAUAGACUCAAAUGAAAGUAUGAUAAGAGUAUUUGAAUAAAGAAUGACACAGAAGUUAGCUGACUGUCAAUACCUUUGAUAUUCAUGACGUACAAUUUCGGGAAAAUGACCUUGUAAAAAGGUCUUACAUCAUAUCCAGAGAAGAUAGUUCUCAACAGCAUAAAGACCUAACCAAAAGUACUUACAGUAGAAGAUAGUUUCAUAGAAAAUGCCACAUCGGGCAUAGACAGAAACACGAUUCCUUUCUAACAAGGAAUAUAAAGUAAAGUAUCUACUACUAGCGAUGGUCAUCCCUCUGGUGAACUCUCAGUUCAGCCAGUUGGCGUUCCACAUCAAGUAAGUGUCUUUCGUACACCCUCUGGCGUACUCGAAGUUCUAUGACUUCGGCUCGUGAUUCAGCUAGUGCUUGCAGCAAGGUUUCAUGGUCUCUCUCAGACCUCUCAGGAGCAUGUUCAAGGCGACUGGUGCGAAGCAUAUGCAUUCCUCCAUUUGUAUCUACUUCUGCGAUACGUUGUAUAGCUAUCAUGCCCUGAAUUUCGUUUCGGGCAACUCUACGGAUCAGAAUUGGUAGAACUCUGUCUGCUGAGCUCCCUUCACUUACGUUGUAGAAACUUUGGUCUCCAUUGAACGGCAUAGGUUGAUCUUGAAUUUCACUCCAUGUUUCCACACAUUCCACCCAUGGAGGCGUCGGGCCAUGAAAAGCCGGACGAGGGUUAGGAAUUGGAAAGGGAGCUGUCUGAGGUAGGUUCUCAACCUCGGGUUCGUAGAUAGCACUGUCUGACAGGUCUUCAGCAUGGUGAUCAUUCAGAGGGAUCGGAUGAUCAUUAUCUGGUUCUUCUCCAAACCAUCAUGCAAUAACUUCGUUCGGAAGGAACAGGUUGCCGUGGGGAUGGAGUCCAGCCAUGUUAUCUAUGCGAGAAUUUGGGGUAAGAAAAUAAUUAUUAGACGGACUAUCUAGAUAAUUAUUUAGGAAAUCAUCAUUAGUUACGUCGCUAUUUGUAAAGUGCAUACCAGUUAUAUGUAAUCAACACAGGAUAGACCUUCGAAUAAGUGACCUUAACUCCAAAUUCACAAGGAAUAAGGGUAAAUCAAAAAUUUCACCGAUUCUAAGUCUAUAUCAUCCUAGUUACAUAUAACUUUAGUGUAUCCACUUAGCAACUAUCAAUUUGGUAAUGAAGAUCCCGCUUUAGUUCUCAAGUAUAAAGUACUUAUAGUAACACAAAACACCCCUAUGGUAUUUUAGAUUUAGGUUCUGUUAUAAUGUUCUCAUUGUGGUAAUGUUGGUAAGUUUUUAGACUUGUUGCCAUAUCACAACCAGUCUUGGGCAUGUGCUAAUCACUCCUUGGAGCAACAUAGUUGAUCAGGCUAUGCCGUUCCUAAGACUGACCAUACAUCCCCAGGCUUACUUAUGAUAUUCAACAAUCAUAAUACAUUUUUUCUUGUCAUUGUGACACGUUAUAAUGUUCUCAUUGUGGUAAUGUUGGUAAGUUUUUAGACUUGUUGCCAUAUCACAACCAGUCUUGGGCAUGUGCUAAUCACUCCUUGGAGCAACAUAGUUGAUCAGGCUAUGCCGUUCCUAAGACUGACCAUACAUCCCCAGGCUUACUUAUGAUAUUCAACAAUCAUAAUACAUUUUUUCUUGUCAUUGUGACACUGAUUUUAGUAUGAAUGCAGGCACGUAUACUUUGUUAAAUAUCUUAUUAUUUAAAAGUAUAUUCUCUUAGACAUAGUGUUUUAAUCCCAAUGUAUUUAUAGUUAGUAUAUCUUUUAUGGGUUGAUAUACUAUAUUCACUAUAAACAAUGCUCUGAUACCAAUCUGUCACACCCCAAAACCACAAACGGCAGAAACGUAUCAGGGGUGGAGGACGUCAUGUACAGUAUCACAACAGUGUAAAAUAGUAAACAAGCAACAACAUCAUCUAUUGCAUUAUAAAUAAAGUUUUAAUACAUAUGUGUUAUUUAAUUGUAAUAAGACACCAAAAAUAUAUAAUCAAAAUAAAAGACGAGACAUGUCUGCUCCGUCUUCUCAAGACCUGGCCACCGUACAUGUCUACUGAUGACCUGAGAAUACAAGUUAUUUUGAAAGAGAGUAUCAGCUUUAAAUCUGGUGAAUUCAUAAGUAUUUAAGUGUCAUUUUCUUGCUUUGAAAAGCUGUUUUAAAAGUCAUGUAAACCUCUAAUUGAAAAUGUUGAUGUAAGUAUGAAAAGCCCUAGAAAAUCCCUUAUUUUCUAUUAUUAUGAAAUGUAGUCUUCAAAAAAGACCCGAAUGUUUUGUAAGUAAAAUGAUAGUUUUUCCUUCUAUUGACUAGUACUAAAGUACUUAGUCUUACUCAUCGUUUAUGUGAAAGUAUCACAAAAUAAAGUAAACAGGAAAGAGUACUAAUGUAAGUGUUGUCACUUGGUACUAGGACUAACAUAACAUCGCAAUAAGCGAAAUAUAUAACCUAAUGAACAUCCGAAGAUUGUCCAGAAAAAGUAUUAAUGUAAGUGUUAUCACUGGGUACUAGGACUAACACAACAUCACAAUAAGCGAAAAGUAUAACCUAAUGAACAUCCGAAGAUUGUCCAAUUGUCCUCUGUAGCAGCAGCAGGUGGGUGGAAGGGUUAGUCCCGAU
rnacentral:lncRNA from 1 species